ACUCCUACGGGAGGCAGCAGUGGGGAAUAUUGGACAAUGGGCGCAAGCCUGAUCCAGCCAUGCCGCGUGAGUGAUGAAGGCCCUAGGGUUGUAAAGCUCUUUCACCGGAGAAGAUAAUGACGGUAUCCGGAGAAGAAGCCCCGGCUAACUUCGUGCCAGCAGCCGCGGUAAUACGAAGGGGGCUAGCGUUGUUCGGAAUUACUGGGCGUAAAGCGCACGUAGGCGGAUCGAUCAGUCAGGGGUGAAAUCCCAGGGCUCAACCCUGGAACUGCCUUUGAUACUGUCGAUCUGGAGUAUGGAAGAGGUGAGUGGAAUUCCGAGUGUAGAGGUGAAAUUCGUAGAUAUUCGGAGGAACACCAGUGGCGAAGGCGGCUCACUGGUCCAUUACUGACGCUGAGGUGCGAAAGCGUGGGGAGCAAACAGGAUUAGAUACCCUAGUAGUCC
rnacentral:rRNA from 1 species